AAGAGCACGGAGGGGGGGUUUGGGUGCACGAGGAGCUGCAGGUAGUUGAGGGCGAACUUCUCCACGUACUCACGGAGCGGCUCCUUCUCGUACAUCCGCUUCACGAACAGCAGCGCCUGCUGGCGGACCUGGGGGACCCACAGUGGCACCCAUGGGCACCCACUGGCACCCACUGGCACCCAUUGGCACCUACUGUCAACUACUGUCACCUACUGUCACCUACUGUCACCCACUGGCACCCACUGGCACCUACACUCACCUACGAUCACCCAUUGGCACCCCUUGGCACCUACUGUCACCCACUGGCACCAAUUGGCACCUACAGUCACCCACUGUCACCCAUUGGCACCAAUUGGCACCUAUUGACACCUAUUGGCACCUACUGGCACCUACUGUCACCCACUGGCACCCAUUGGCACCCAUUGCCACCUACUGUCACCCACUGGCACCCAUUGGCACCUACUGCCAUCUACUGUCACCUACUGUCACCCAUUGGCACCUACACUCACCUACAAUCACCCCUUGGCACCUAUUGUCACCCACUGGCACCCACUGGCACCCACUGGCACCCAUUGGCACCUACUGUCAACUACUGUCACCUACACUCACCUACAAUCACCCCUUGGCACCUACUGUCACCCAUUGGCACCAAUUGGCACCAACUGUCAUCUUCUGUCACCCACUGUCACCCAUUGGCACCCAUUGGCACGUACCAUCACCCAUUGGCAUCUAUUGGCACCUACUGGCACCUACUGGCACCCACUGUCAUCUACUGUCAUCCAUUGGCACCUACACACACCUACGAUCACCAAUUGGCACCCCUUGGCACCUACUGUCACCUACUGUCACCCACUGGCACCUACACUCACCUACGAUCACCCCUUGGCACCCAUUGGCACCUACUGUCAACUACUGUCACCUACACUCACCUACGAUCACCCCUUGGCACCUACUGUCACCCAUUGGCACCCAUUGGCACCAACUGUCAUCUACUGUCACCCACUGGCACCCAUUGGCCCCCACUGUCACCCAUUGGCACCCACUGUCACCCAUUGCCACCUACUGUCAACUACUGUCACCUACACUCACCUACGAUCACCCCUUGGCACUUACUGUCACCCACUGGCACCCAUUGGCACCAACUGUCAUCUACUGUCACCCACUGGCACCCAUUGGCACCCAUUGGCACCCACUGGCACCCAUUGGCACCCA
rnacentral:lncRNA from 1 species